rnacentral:rRNA from 1 species
UGGGGAAUAUUGGACAAUGGGCGCAAGCCCGAUCCAGCCAUGCCGCGUGUGUGAAGAAGGCCUUUUGGUUGUAAAGCACUUUAAGCGAGGAGGAGGCUACUUGGAUUAAUACUCUAGGAUAGUGGACGUUACUCGCAGAAUAAGCACCGGCUAACUCUGUGCCAGCAGCCGCGGUAAUACAGAGGGUGCGAGCGUUAAUCGGAUUUACUGGGCGUAAAGCGUGCGUAGGCGGCUUCUUAAGUCGGAUGUGAAAUCCCUGAGCUUAACUUAGGAAUUGCAUUCGAUACUGGGAAGCUAGAGUAUGGGAGAGGAUGGUAGAAUUCCAGGUGUAGCGGUGAAAUGCGUAGAGAUCUGGAGGAAUACCGAUGGCGAAGGCAGCCAUCUGGCCUAAUACUGACGCUGAGGUACGAAAGCAUGGGGAGCAAACAGG